GCUGGCGACCGGCGCACGGGUGAGUAACACGUAUCCAACCUACCCUUUACUCGGGGAUAGCCUUUCGAAAGAAAGAUUAAUACCCGAUAGCAUAAUGAUUCCGCAUGGUUUCAUUAUUAAAGGAUUCCGGUAAAGGAUGGGGAUGCGUUCCAUUAGGUUGUUGGUGGGGUAACGGCUCACCAAGCCUUCGAUGGAUAGGGGUUCUGAGAGGAAGGUCCCCCACAUUGGAACUGAGACACGGUCCAAACUCCUACGGGAGGCAGCAUG
rnacentral:rRNA from 1 species